AUGUUUAUUAUUAUCCCCCGCCCUAGGCAGAGGGAUAUUGUUUUGGCGUUGUCUGUCCGUCCUUCCAUCCUUCCGUCUGUCCGUCUUUCCAUCCGUCCGUAGCCAUAUCCUGGAAGUGCUUUGGCAGAUUUCAUUGAAACCUGGUUCGAGUAUAUAUAUGGAUAAGAGGAUGAUGCACGCCAAAUGGAAUUGUACACCAUCUGUUAAAAACGGGGUUAUGGCCCUUUGUAUCUUUAAAAAAUGCUUGUUUGAGUGUCAAAUAUAAUACUUAUGUGUCCAGAAGCAUAUUGGCGGGGGAUAUCAAUUCAACGUAUUUGCUUGUAAAUAAAAAAUUAAACCAAUGGAAUUGGUUUUUAGGUAUCUGAGUGUGCAUUUUCAUACCAAUAGAAUUACACAUCAUUCUAAUUAUAGCAAUAAUAAAUUUGUACUAAUCAUACCAACAAAUUAAGUUAUGCUUAGUGCUUUGCGAUGUAUUCACUUUGUUUUUAGUUCUCUUUCUAAAGACCAUUUAACACCUUAAUAUUUAAAACAAUUCAUGAAUUACGUUCCCUAUACAUUUUCAUUAUGUGCUUUAAUUACCAUUGACCAGUUGAUGGAAGAAUACUGCAGAGUUUGGCAGGGAAAUAAUCCAACAGCAAAGCGGCUCAUUAAGCGCAUUUACCUAGAGGACUUACAGGGCCACAAAUUCAUGAGCACAUGUGAGCAGUAUACAAUUGUACCUCAUACCAAAAAGGACCCGGAGGCAGUGACUGGUGUUCAAUAUUCUCAGAAGAAAAGGAAAAUGGCAGUGGAAGACUUGGACAAACAUUUUUAAAAACUAGCCUCUGUGUUAAGCCUUGCAGUCUGUGGCUGUUGACAUGUUUUAUUUUGGUAAAUUCUUGUAUAAAAAAGACCAGUUAUUUAUUUUGUGAAUUGUAUUUUGUGUUUGUUUUUUGUCUUAAUUUAUUUGUUUUUUUUUAAUUUAGGAAUUUGAAACUUGGAUAAUUGAAUAAAGUCCAUGUUCAACAGUACUGAGCAUAGUAUAAUAAAUAACAAAUUUACAACAGUUGUUUAUUUGUUAUGUAUUAUUAUUAACUAUGCUCAGUACUUGAAAACUGGCUGUCUGCAUGGGAAUUUGUUUUCUAGAAAGUUGGUUUCAGACUUAAAUAUUUGAAGCUAACCUUCGGAACUUUUCUAGAAUUGCACUGGAACACAUCAACUAGAACUGAACUUCUGUUAUCAUACUGAAAGUGUUCUAGAAUUAAUAAGGAACAGUUGUUGAAAGUUAAAAUUUAUGUGAAAAAACUUUAGAACAAUUGUGCGUGAUGUGUGUGUGCAUGUAAUUGUGUGUGUUUAUGAACAUACACUUCAAAACCGUUAUUUCGAAGUCGUCGGGACCGUUAAAAAAACUUCGGAUUAACUAUAAUUCGAAAUAAACAUUUGACAGAAGACUUCUUUGAUUCUGUGAAAAUAAAACGUUGUGGAAGUCGCAUGGUUCGGUUACACGCUUUCUUAAAAGCGUAAACAAGUCAUAUAGCAAUAGAUUUCCACUUGUAACAAACGGAGGAAUAAAAAGAUCCUUUUUCUUGUUUUUAUUUUUGUCUUAAUUACAGAACAUAUAAAAUAUAACGAAUAGCACAAAUUAUCAGACAUACAAACAUAUGAAUACAUUUUCGGAAAUGAAUUAACUUUUUUUAACUAAUACGCAAUGUCUCUCUGAACACCAGCUUUCGCACAGACGACAAAGGUGUAAUUAUUGGCUUUUGACGUGCCACGACAAGGUGUGAAAAUACGCUCAGUAUUUUGCAGUUUUGACUUCGGAUUAAAGAUUGAUAAUAAGGUGGGAAUUAUAGUGUUGGGACCGACUGAAUCACUUCGAAAUAACGAUUUCUUCGGUUUAACGAAGUUCGGAUUAACAAUGAAAUUUUAUAUUAAACAAAGAAGAACCAAAAUCGGGACCCGAAAAAUACUUCGAAAUAACGGUGACUUCGGAUUAUCGGUGUUCGAAAUAACGGUGUUGAAGUGUAUGUGAGAAAGGAAGUAUACUUGUAAUAAGAGAAAUGUAAAAUUCUACUUUUAUGUUUUAUAUUGUGCCUUUUAUAAGUUUUUCUUUUCUCACCUGUAUAUGCCGUCAUGUUUAUGGAUGUGUUUUUGAAUGUGUGCAUGCAUGCCUGUGGUUAAGAGAGUUGGUACUUUAUGAAAAUGUAAAACCACUCAUUUUUGAAUAUGUACUGUGACUGCAUGUGUGUGGUAAAUGAUUGAUGCCAGAUCUUGUUCUUGUUUAACUUCUAUGAUGAAACCUUUAGUUACAUUCACAUUUGUUUUUCAAAAUCGAUAAAAUGCCUUUGAUCUAUAA